CUUGCAGCCUCUGGUCCUCCAGGCACUCCUUGGCUUAUGGCAGCCUCCCUCCAACCCCUGCGUCUGUCUCCACACAACCUGCGUCCCUCCUCUGUGUGUCUAAGGACACUUGCAAGAGACUAAGUAUCCAAAGGGACAGUGGCCAUACCAUUGAGGUUUGCUGUCCCUUUUCAAGUUGUUCUUACCCAACAGUGCUUUUGCCUGUUCCUGGACAGACCCCAAGCCCAUGCUCUGCUUCUAUCUCACUCUGCCAUUACCCCCUCUUCCCACUGGCCACCAGGAAGCUUAGUGCCCCUCCCUGUGGCCUACCCACAGGGAUCUGCUCUGAAAACAGAACGCUGACCCACACCUGCAGCAACUCGCCAGGAAACUGACCCUGUAUCCACCAGAAACAGUGGAGGAAGCCAGUCUGCAGUGAACCAGGCUUGCAGGAGGCCAGAUAGCCAUCUUUAAUGACAAUGCAGGAAGCUAAACAGUGGCUUCUGUGACAAUUAACCCCAAAUGGCCAGGACUUGACUCCUAACUGACAGCUUCCUAUUUUUGUCCCCACUUCUGACUAAUGGCCAACCAGAGAGAGCCAAACAUGCACCCUAGCUCAUCCCAGGUGAUGCCCCAAUGCUAGGUAGGCAGCUCCGGUUCCCCGACACCAACAGCCUCCGGUCAAAGCACACCCAAACCAGCUCCAGCUUUCCCUGCAAAGCCUUCCCGCUCCUCUUCCCACCUUUGAGUCUCUGCCCAACACAAGUAGUGGUGACUGAGUCCAGUCUGCAGAAAGCUCUGGAUAAAUGGCCUCUGCUUCUCUCAUUUGAGCGGCCCUUGUUUAUUUCCACUCUUGUCACUGUAUUUAGGGCCCUCCCAGAUAAUUCAGGAUGAUCUCAGCUUGAGAUCCUUCACUUAAUUUCAUCUGCAAAAACCCUCUUUCCAAAUAAGGCCACAGUCACAGAUUCUGGGAAUUAGGAGGUGGACAUGGAUUUUUGGGGGCCACCACUCACCCACUACAAGCGGGUACUUCGACACUUUUGGCCUCAGAUCAUAGGAGGACCUGCCCCGCCUGGCUGCCCGGAUGGGUCAGAGAAGGUUUUCUGGGAGACCCUGGCCCUCUGCAGCCCAGGAGAAGAGAGAAACACUGCCAGGGGCUGCAGCCCAGUGCCGCGGGGUGAGCUGGAGCGGCACCCAUGGAGACUCAUGGUGGGGAGCGAGGUUGUGAAAUGCUGCCUUUCUAAGGGUUGAGGCCUGGGAGCUCCUGGGCUGUUGGGAUUGGAUGAUGUGCGUGUGGCCGGGCGUUGAGGGGUGAAGCCUCCGGUGCCCAGUGCUCCAGUGGCCGGUAGGGCUUCGGCUGAGACCCAGCCUUCGGUCCUCUCCCCGGGACUGUACGGCUCACAUGGCUCCUGAAAAACAAGCUUGUCAUCUUCUGAUCCAGUGUCUUUGGGACUUGAGGUAUCCCACUAAAGCCCCUGACUUCCACAAAGCCCCUCAAUUCCAGCCCCAGCCGCCCCCUCCCAGCCCUGCCCCGCAGCAGCUGUGUGACCUUGGGUGAGCUGUGUAACCCGUGCUGGGGUGAUGGUAAAGGCUCUCUUACCACCCUCUCCCGCCCCUCCAGCAAGCUGGUCUCCCAAUAGGCAUCACCCACAGCAUUCCUCAGAGACCAUCCCUUGCUGUGCCCACCCAGGAAGAAGCUAAAGACCCUGGGAAGUUAAGCCCUCUGCAGCCCUUGACUGAGGUGUGAGGAUCCCCCAGGUGAGCCAUGAGCCUGAGCCCAGGUGUGUCUGGAAGAGCCCUGCCUGGCUUCCUCCCCAGUCCCUGGUGGGCCCCGGGAACCAUUCCUCAAUCAUCAGCUUGCACACAAAUCCCAGGCUAAGGGUCUGUUGUGGGAACCCAUUGGAGAUAGUGUCACAUAGGGCUACUGGGAGGAUUAAUAGGUUACUACAUUUGUGUGUGUGUGUGUGUGUGUGUGUGUGUGUGUGUGUGUGUGGCGGAGUCUUGCUCUGUUGUCCAGGCUAGAGUGCAGUGGCACCAUCUCAGCUCAUGGCAACUUUCACCUCCCGGGUUCAAGCAAUUCUCCUGCCUCAGCCUCCCAAGUAGCUCGGAUUACAGGUGCCCACCACCAUGCCCAGCUACUUUUUGUAUUUUAGUAGAGAUGGGGUUUCACCAUGUUGGCCAGGCUGGUCUCGAACUCCUGACCUCAAGUGAUCCACCUGCCUCUACCUCCCAAAGUGCUGGGAUCCCACCCUGUCCACAAGACACAUGCAAAUAACACGGGCACUGACAAGACUGGAUUUAGGAAGUCCACAACUUCCCUGGUUUACCUUCUGACGUCCACUAAGUCCAACACUCCGUGUCUCCGUGGUUACUGCAACACCCAAACUCUCCAGCUCCACAAGGGUUUGACAGGCCACUGAACCACAGGACCUCAGUUUUC
rnacentral:lncRNA from 1 species